rnacentral:rRNA from 1 species
CUACGGGCGGCAGCAGUGAGGAAUAUUGCACAAUGGGGGGAACCCUGAUGCAGCAACGCCGCGUGGAGGAUGACGCAUUUCGGUGUGUAAACUCCUUUUAUAUGUCAAGAAAAUGACGGUAGCAUAUGAAUAAGCACCGGCUAACUCCGUGCCAGCAGCCGCGGUAAUACGGAGGGUGCAAGCGUUACUCGGAAUCACUGGGCGGAAAGGACGCGUAGGCGGGGUGGAAAGUCAGGUGUGAAAUCCUACAGCUUAACUGUAGAACUGCACUUGAAACUUCUAAUCUAGAGUAUGGGAGGGGGAGAUGGAAUUAGUGGUGUAGGGGUAAAAUCCGUAGAUAUCACUAGGAAUACCUAAAGCGAAGGCGAUCUCCUGGAACAUUACUGACGCUAAGGCGUGAAAGCGUGGGGAGCAAACAGGAUUAGAUACCCUAGUAGUC